AGCCGGCCACUGUGGACAGAGAAGCGGGUCAGGGAGGCGGCCCCGGGGGGCUGAGCGCCCUUUCCCGCGUGUCGGUCCCCCAGCCCUCCACACCCUCUUCCCGCGUGUCGGUCCCCCAGCCCUCCACACCCUCUUCCCUCGUGUCGGUCCCCCAGCCCUCCACACCGGCUCAGUGCUUCCGGGGAGGUGAGCGCAGCGGUCUCCACCGCCCCUUUUCAGAACGCAGCUCCCUCCUGCCCAGGCUCCCUGGAGGCUGCAAGACCAGGACCUGGGGUAUGGACCAGAAGGGCCCAGCCUUUCCCAGGGGAGCUCCCCUCCUUCUCGGGGAGCAGCUGACAGGCACCCUCUUCAGAGAGGGUCAGAGGCCCAGCCUCAGUUAAAAAGACCUUGAGUGAGGCCCGCAGGGGGUGAAAGAAAUGUUGAAAUAUCAAGAUGAGUAUAACAGUAAGUAAUAAACACGUGGCGUCUCCUGAAAAUAUCUCUGUUUCCCACACACUCUUUCCUUUGCCCUGGAGCUGGCGGUCAUCCAUCCAGCCAGCCGUCUAUGGUGCCUCAAAGCCUGUUUUUCUCCCUCCAUCCACCCGUAAGAUAUAAUUGACCCGUAACAGGCUGUAAUUUUAAGGUGUGCACUUUUAUUGCAAAAUAUAUUGUAAUUACUAUUUCUUUUCUGUGCCAAGAACAUUGAAGAUUUGCUGUUAGCAGCUUUCAAGUCCGCAACACAGCAUCGUUGGUGGUGAUCCCCACACCCUGACCGUCCCCAGGCCGACUCCUCUGCUGACGAAGUCCCAGCCCUUUGUCACCGUCUUCUCUUUGCCUCACCCCCAGGCCCUGUUUAAUAGCCAAGCUUUUAUCCUCCAAGAAUGCCAGCCGUACCUGUGGUCCCUGCCGUCCUGGUUGUUAAGAAAGUUCCACUCCCAGGUGGAGCUUCCGUGCUCUCCGGAGGCUCUGCUUCAUCUGGAGGAGAGAAGAAGGAUGUUUGUGGGGCAGAGAUCCUGCUCUGUAUCCCCAUCAGGAAAUGGGGGACCCCAGGGCGUGGAGACCUUCCAGUUCAUCUCAUCUGUUUUCUAGAGUGAGAACAAACCAAGGCCCCAGGAGAGGAAGGAGCUCGCCCAGGACCACGUGGCAGAUCUGGACACAUGGAACCACAGAUCCUUCUAAGCCCAGAACUGUGAAGCUGUGUGUAUGCUCUGACCUUCCACAACCCCAAGGAUCCAACAUAACCCCUCCCACUGCCCUCAUGACCCUUUGCAGCAGGAGGCCUAGCGGUCCCAUCCUGAGGGGUCUGCUCAGUACAGCAUCUUGCAGUCCAUCCUUGAACGUGUAUUCAAGUCUCAGAAUCAAAUUGCCUUUCCAGUCAGUAAAAUUCAUGACUGUCCAGACCUGUUGGAGUUAGUUUUGCUUCUUUCGAGUGAAAACCUCCAAAUUAAGACAGUCUGCAUCCCUUAGCCAGAGGCAGCUGGUUAUCUCUUGAGUAAGGAGAGUAAACACUGACCUCUUGAGAAAACUUUCAGGAAUUGUGGAAUAUGGGAGGCGAGAAGGAGAGGAAAGCAACUAAUGUGUUCUGAAUCCUCACUCCAGAACAAAGUCAUAGUGACAAGGAGAGGAGACAGCGUAUUGCAGCAGGU